AAUCAACGCUGGCGGCGUGCCUCAGACAUGCAAGUCGAACGAUUAAAGCUCUCUUCGGAGAGUGUAUAGAGUGGCGCACGGGUGAGUAACACGUAAGUAAUCUACCUUCGAGUGGGGAAUAACGUCCGGAAACGGACGCUAAUACCGCAUAAUGCAGCGGCAUCGCAAGAUGACAGUUGUUAAAGAUUUAUCGCUUGAAGAGGAGCUUGCGGCAGAUAGCUAGUUGGUAAGGUAAUGGCUUACCAAGGCUACGAUCUGUAACCGGUCUAAGAGGACGGUCGGUCACACUGACACUGAAUAACGGGUCAGACUCCUACGGAGGCAGCAGUC
rnacentral:rRNA from 1 species